UAGGGAAUCUUCGGCAAUGGACGAAAGUCUGACCGAGCAACGCCGCGUGAGUGAAGAAGGUUUUCGGAUCGUAAAACUCUGUUGUUAGAGAAGAACAAGGACGUUAGUAACUGAACGUCCCCUGACGGUAUCUAACCAGAAAGCCACGGCUAACUACGUGCCAGCAGCCGCGGUAAUACGUAGGUGGCAAGCGUUGUCCGGAUUUAUUGGGCGUAAAGCGAGCGCAGGCGGUUUCUUAAGUCUGAUGUGAAAGCCCCCGGCUCAACCGGGGAGGGUCAUUUGAAACUGGGAGACUUGAGUGCAGAAGAGGAGAGUGGAAUUCCAUAUGUAGCGGUGAAAUGCGUAGAUAUAUGGAGGAACACCAGUGGCGAAGGCGGCUCUCUGGUCUGUAACUGACGCUGAGGCUCGAAAGCGUGGGGAGCAAACAGG
rnacentral:rRNA from 1 species